rnacentral:tRNA from 1 species
GGAGCAGUAGUUCAGAUGGUUAGAAUACCUGCCUGUCACGCAGGGGGGCGCGGGUUCGAGUCCCGUCUGUUCCGCCA